GAUGAACGCUGGCGGCGUGCCUAAUACAUGCAAGUAGAACGCUGAAGGAGGAGCUUGCUCUUCUGGAUGAGUUGCGAACGGGUGAGUAACGCGUAGGUAACCUGCCUGGUAGCGGGGGAUAACUAUUGGAAACGAUAGCUAAUACCGCAUGACAACAGUUAUUGCAUGAUAACUGUUUAAAAGGGGCAACUGCUCCACUACCAGAUGGACCUGCGUUGUAUUAGCUAGUUGGUGAGGUAACGGCUCACCAAGGCGACGAUGCAUAGCCGACCUGAGAGGGGGAUCGGCCACACUGGGACUGAGACACGGCCCAGACUCCUACGGGAGGCAGCAGUAGGGAAUCUUCGGCAAUGGACGGAAGUCUGACCGAGCAACGCCGCGUGAGUGAAGAAGGUUUUCGGAUCGUAAAGCUCUGUUGUAAGAGAAGAACGAGUGUGAGAGUGGAAAGUUCACACUGUGACGGUAUCUGACCAGAAAGGGACGGCUAACUACGUG
rnacentral:rRNA from 1 species